rnacentral:sRNA from 1 species
GGUCAUUUAGAGGAAGUAAAAGUCGUAACAAGGUUUCCGUAGGUGAACCUGCGGAAGGAUCAUUAUUGAAUGAACAUAGAGUCGGUUGUAGCUGGCCCCUUUUAACCGGGGGGCAUGUGCACGCCUUCUCUUUUCAUCCAUACACACACCUGUGAACUUGUGAGACGGAUUUCGACCCUCUCCGGGGGGGAAAGGUCCGUCUGCUAUACAUAAACUCCUGAAUAAAUAAAUUAGAAUGUAAUCGAUGUAACGCAUCUUUAAACUAAGUUUCAACAACGGAUCUCUUGGCUCUCGCAUCGAUGAAGAACGCAGCGAAAUGCGAUAAGUAAUGUGAAUUGCAGAAUUCAGUGAAUCAUCGAAUCUUUGAACGCACCUUGCGCUCCUUGGUAUUCCUCGGAGCAUGCCUGUUUGAGUAUCAUGAAAUCUUCAAAAUAAAUCUUUUGUUCACUCGAUUGAUUUUAUUUUGGACUUGGAGGCUUGCAGAUUCACGUCUGCUCCUCUUAAAUUUAUUAGCUGGAUCUCGGUGAGCUCGGUUCCACUCGGCGUGAUAAGUAUCACUCGCUGAGGACACUGUAAAAGGUGGCCGGGAUUGCGGAUGAACCGCUUCUAAUAGUCCAAUUCUUGGUCAUUUUAGAGGAAGUAAAAGUCGUAACAAGGUUUCCGUAGGUGAACCUGCGGAAGGAUCAUUAUAAGCGGAGGAAAAGAAACUAACAAGGAUUCCCCUAGUAACGGCGAGUGAGGCGGGAAGAGCUCAAAUUUAAAAUCUGGCGGUCUCACCGUCCGAGUUGCAGUCUAGAGAAGCAUCAUCUACGCUGGACCGUGUACAAGUCUCCUGAAU